GGGCACUCAGCGGCGGGCGGGCAGCGCAGGUACCGCGGGCCCCUCCGGGCACGGAUCGGCGGGCGGGCAGCGCAGGGUCAGGGCAGGAGCCGCCGGCCCGCCUGGGCUUGGCCCCGCGGGCGCUGGGGCGGGUCCCGGCCCGACGUGCCCCUGGAGCAGGGGAGGGGAAGGCGCGGGUGCGGGCCCCGCUCCGGAGCGCGGAAGGCGUACAGAAGCUGCGCGGGGCGGUGGCGGGGAGAGAGGAGGGGCGACUGUGCAGGACAGUGCGUGCGGAAAGCGGCGCCGGCUGAGCCUUCGCAGAGCGGGCCGGGAGCGCAGUGCCCCCAGCAAUGCAACACAAGGGGCAGACGUGGGAACUCGGCAAAUAAUGAGGCCGGGUCCUCAAGACAGGGAUGCAGUUUCUUGGAAAGGUGUCCUGGUCGAAAGCUGUCAUCCCAAAACAGUAGAUUUAAAGCACAAGAACUGCCUCUUAACAAAACACAUGAACACGCAAACACCUUUUUUUCUGAUGCUUAACUAAGGUGUGGCCUUAAAGCAUGCUGCCAAUUGUGGAAGCUCCACGGGUUUCUUUUUUACCUUUACCGCGGAGCAGCGUGGGUGCGGUGUGGGCAGUCACCGCGGGCUGUCUGCGGUGCGCUCACAGCCUGCCUUUCCUUGCAGGAACUUGUUCCCAGUCCUGUUACUGGGAGCUCUGCUUGCUGCUUUAAUUUUACUCUGCAGAGCCGGAGACUUAAAUUAUACACAGGUCAAUGCUAGGACAUUUUCCUGGGGUUUACUCAUUUGAAACGUUUUUUAACUUCUAAAUGUGCCAAGACACUUAUGUCCUUGUGGUGCUUAUUUAUUAAAAAUAACUGUCUUUCUCAUGCCAGCAGCUGCUGUAAAAAUGCAGUUUGCUGCUUUUUACAUAAUAUGGUGUUAAUUGUAAUUUUUGUCAUUUAAUAUUUGAAAAAUAAUGUUCAAUUAAUGGCGGCAGAUUAAUUGAAUUAGUAUUUGUAUGUAAUAUUGUCUUUGCUACAUAACCUGGACUUUAAUGUCAGGAUGAUGAAAACUUGAGUUAGCACAGGUCAUUUGAACCAAGGGACUGGCUGUGUGGUUUCAUGUGUUGGACAAGAAAGGUGCUUUGACAAUUUGGCCAUUUUGUAGCUCUGUUUGCAGCCUUAUGCUGGAAGAACACAAAGCCUUUUGUUUGCUUACUUCUUCCUUUUGAUGUCAUUUCAUUAUUGUAGGCUUUUCUAUUGCUUCCUGUGCAGCUUUGCCUGGGACAGUGGUUUUCAUUUUUCUAAUGGGUCUGUGAGUUGAGUGGCCGGUGAGAGAUUGCUGAAAUGUUACAAAACCGAGCCUGCAAUGAGUUGUCCAGGGGGCAACUCUAAGAACCAGUGGGCAGUAGUGCCUUCAGCAGUUUGGGACUUGAUUUAACCUUUGUGACAGAUGGGAAGUUCUGUGACAUAUAUAGGAACAGAUUCUUCUAUUUUGUUACCCCUGAACUGUGGUUCAGCAAGAAGUCCCAGUGACAUUAGGUCUUUCAGCCUUUUGAACGAUCUCCAGUGGAAGGAGCAGAACAGGAAUUCAGUAUUGUGUGGGACCCCCAGAGCAGACGGGUCCCUCCCCCGGCAGGCGAAGGACGGGCACUGCAGCACAGCUGAGCCUCUUCAGGAGCUACCAACCUACACGGAUCACACGGCCCAGGGCAGCACUCGUGACACGGCGCUCGGACAAUGAACUUAAUGUUUCAGAGUCAUUCUGAUAGCAACUUAUGGAGCACUGACACAAAAGAAGGAAUUGUCUACUGGGCUACCAUGUUAUUAUUCAGUACUACAAGCCAGGUCCAGAGGCUAUUAAUACUGUGUAUGCAAACUUUGGGUAUGCUUCAAGCCCCUUUCCCAUGGUAAGUGCCAAUUUGAUCACCCGUGAUUUUGAUCUGGAUUUUCUGCUGCUACAGGCAAUUCUUUCUGUAAGGGUACAAGAGGCCACUUCCUACAUGUUCUUGCUAAUAUACAGCACUGUAUCUCCAGUACUGUCCAAAAUCUUCUGCAUUUCCCCUUAGAGAUGUUCUAAUUUUCUAAGUUUCUGAUACAUCCAUUGUGUCUGAAUGCUUGUUUAAAACAAGGUAUCCUAGCUACUUUUUUUUUUUUUUCCUAGGAUCAGCAGCAUUUAUACAGAAGCACCAUAUACACUAAAUAAAUUUUUCCUGUUUAAAUGGGACUUACUUAUUCAGGUGCCUCAUCUUUAAAAUUAGUUAACGACUUCCUUUUUACCUGAAGACUUUGCUUUUCCUACUCCAACUUCAGAAAUGCCAUUCCCAGCAUGCUGCUUGGCACUCAUCUACCUUCUCACCUUCUCAAACCGUAAACAAAACUUGCCCAAUAACUUACCUUUUUUUUUUUUUUUUUUUUUUU